rnacentral:ncRNA from 1 species
CUCUGGUUCAGCAGAUGCAUCAGGGCAAAGGAG